UCAAACUUGGUCAUUUAGAGGAAGUAAAAGUCGUAACAAGGUUUCCGUAGGUGAACCUGCGGAAGGAUCAUUACCGAGUUAGGGUCUCGUCACGAGCCCGACCUCCCAAACCUGUGCUUACUCGACCCCUGUUGCUUCGGCGGGCCCGUCUUCACAGACCGUCGGAGGACCGUCCUUUGGUCCUCUGACCCGCGCCCGUCGAUGGCCCGAUCUUCCAAUUCUCCAAACAAACAUGCCGUCUGAAAAAUCCAAACAAAUACCGAAAAAACUUUCAACAACGGAUCUCUUGGUUCUGGCAUCGAUGAAGAACGCAGC
rnacentral:misc_RNA from 1 species